GUGUUCACUUCAGCAGCACAUAUACUAAAAUUGGAACAAUUCACAGAGGACUAGCAUGGGCCCUCCAGAAGAAUGACACAUAUUUGUGGUGUUACAUGUUUUUUUUUU